UCCCCCGCGGCCUAGUGGUUAGCGCUCCCGUUUUUGAAAUUCUAGACCCGGGUUCGAUUCCCCACGGGGUCA